UACAGAGGUCUCAAGCGUUGUUCGGAUUCAUUGGGCGUAAAGGGUGCGUAGGCGGCGGGGCAAGUCGGAUGUGAAAUCUCAGGGCUCAACCCUGAACUGCAUUCGAUACUGCCUUGCUCGAGGACUGGAGAGGAGAUUGGAAUUCACGGUGUAGCAGUGAAAUGCGUAGAUAUCGUGAGGAAGACCAGUGGCGAAGGCGGAUCUCUGGACAGUUCCUGACGCUGAGGCACGAAGGCCAGGGGAGCAAAACGGG
rnacentral:rRNA from 1 species